rnacentral:miRNA from 1 species
AUCGAUCGUUGACUGUACA